AUGAUAAGGCUGCUGACAAAGAUAAAAACUGUAGCUAAAGAUCGAAAGCAAUCUCCCCGGAGAGGGAUGAGAGCAGAGAUUCCAUUCCGACUCUGCUGCUCCCAGGUUCUGCGUGAAGUCCGCAACCGCUCAGUCUUCGUCUCUUCUCCGAACGGCCUGGUGAUGGCGAAUUUAAUAACCGAGACGCCACCGAAGGGACCAGCCGUGAGAGCACACGCCGUGCGGAUGCCCCGGACCCAGGAUGACAUCAGGAGGAAGCCACAGUUUUCUGUCUCCUGGCUCCAUCUUCCCAGCACCCCACCAUGAAGCCUCCCCACCAACGGGACCCUGGCCUUGAGGGCACCAGAAGCUCUGGAAUCCAGAUA
rnacentral:lncRNA from 1 species